GAUGAACGCUGGCGGCGUGCCUAAUACAUGCAAGUCGAGCGAACGGACGAGAAGCUUGCUUCUCUGAUGUUAGCGGCGGACGGGUGAGUAACACGUGGAAAACCUACCUAUAAGACUGGGAUAACUUCGGGAAACCGGAGCUAAUACCGGAUAAUAUUUUGAACCGCAUGGUUCAAAAGUGAAAGACGGUCUUGCUGUCACUUAUAGAUGGAUCCGCGCUGCAUUAGCUAGUUGGUAAGGUAACGGCUUACCAAGGCAACGAUGCAUAGCCGACCUGAGAGGGUGAUCGGCCACACUGGAACUGAGACACGGUCCAGACUCCUACGGGAGGCAGCAGUAGGGAAUCUUCCGCAAUGGGCGAAAGCCUGACGGAGCAACGCCGCGUGAGUGAUGAAGGUCUUCGGAUCGUAAAACUCUGUUAUUAGGGAAGAACAUAUGUGUAAGUAACUGUGCACAUCUUGACGGUACCUCAUCAGAAAGCCACGGCUAACUACGUG
rnacentral:rRNA from 1 species